UGUGUGUGUGCGUGUGUGUGUGCGUGUGUGUGUGCGUGUGUGUGCGCGUGUGUGUGCGCGUGUGUGUGCGCGUGUGUGUGCGUGUGUGUGUGCGUGUGUGUGUGCGUGUGUGUGUGCGCUGCAGCCUGUGAAUGAAUACACACAGCGGGGGGACAGAGACAUGAGGGAAAUCUAAUACCGUAUUGUAUGUAGUGUCCCUUUUUCGGCAGAUUUUUCCGCUACCGCAGAUCAUUUUAUCAACUUGUAAUAUCUUCAUUUUGGCAUUGAUGUGAAGUCUAUGGAUUGUAUCUCUGUGGGUUUGAUAAAGUGCUGAGCUUGGGGCUGUUUCGAUGAGUUUAAUCGUCUGGAGGAAGCCGUGCUCUCUGCAGUGUCCAUGCAGAUACGAGCCAUUCAGGACUCACUGAGACAGCAUCGAGACACCUGUCACCUCCUGGGCAAAGAGAACUUGAGUGUCCAGGUGGAGGUAGACCCAAACUCUGGUGUGUUCAUCACUUUGAAUCCUGCCGGCAAAAGCUAUGGAGGGAGACCGAAACUUCCAGACAAUCUCAAGCAACUUUUCCGUCCGGUUGCCAUGACAACCCCUGAGGUCAUCCUUUACUCUGAGGGCUUCAAACAGGGGAAGGAGCUUGCACACAAACACACGGCUGUGUUCAACCUGGCUAGUCUGGAGGGACAAAUUGUGGUGCCUCUUCUCCUUACUAGUAUGAUGGACUUCAUAGUGUUCCAUGAUGCAUCUAAUGAUACUGGUAAUGGAUAUUUUUUAACAGGUAUGUGUGUGUAGAGAGCUGUUGACCCCUCAGCAGCAUUAUGACUGGGGGCUGCGUGCGCUGAAGACGGUGCUGAAAGCUCACUGAACAACACACACAAUCACCAACCAGUGUGUCACAAAGCUUCGUCUCUAUCUUCUUCGGGGAAGUGUGUGGUAGAGACUAAUCUAGUCAGCACUGUCCUGAAUGGUUUGUCUCAUUUGAGGGGUGUGAGUGAGCGGGGAGAGUUUAUAGUUGGAUUAAUCCUUGGACUUGGAGGAAAUCUGCAGCUAAAAUCACGACAGGAUUUUGCCAAGCAGGUCCUAAGCUGGGCAGAUGAGAGCCCUCCUGAUCCACGGAACCCUCUGAAUCUGUUCUACGAUUGUGACUCUGGGUGUUUCUGUGUUUAUGAGCUGCAGCGUGGAGAUGGAGUGGGUUGGACCAGAGGGCUGUGGCAAGGGUGUGUUUUUGUGUGUGUCUGUGUGUGUGUGCGUCUGUUUGUGUGUGUCUGUGCGUG